rnacentral:rRNA from 1 species
UACGUAGGGUGCAAGCGUUAAUCGGAAUUACUGGGCGUAAAGCGUGCGCAGGCGGUUGUGCAAGACCGAUGUGAAAUCCCCGGGCUUAACCUGGGAAUGGCAUUGGUGACUGCACGGCUAGAGUGUGUCAGAGGGGGGUAGAAUUCCACGUGUAGCAGUGAAAUGCGUAGAGAUGUGGAGGAAUACCGAUGGCGAAGGCAGCCCCCUGGGAUAACACCGACGCUCAUGCACGAAAGCGUGGGGAGCAAACAGG